UUCUGCUUUGUGCAUCUUCAGUGAGUGAGGACAAAAUCAAUACCUUCUGCCCUUGGUUCACUUUGCAGGCUGUUUGCACAGGACAGCUGGUGCAGAAGGUACUGCAGGCAGCCACUGACUUCCCAGGCUGUGUGUAUAGAAUGGAUCAUGCACAUCCCUUUUCUUGACAUAAGGAAACCAUGUCUGCAUCAGAGAAGACAAACACUGUGAUAAACAAAUAUAGUGGAGUCUUGCUGGCUUCGUUCAAGGAGGAGUUUCAUAUUCUGGCCCUGGUUUGCACAGUUAAAAAAGUCUGGACAUUUCCUAGAAGUCUGAAGAUUUUUGGCUACUAGAAACACUAGAGAUUUCCCCAUCCUAAGAAAAACCACAGGCUUCUCCAAUUACAAAUAUCAUUGAAAUUCACAAUUAGGAGUUACAAUAAAAUAACUUUUCCUGAAAAUCACUAUUCCCAAAGAGCAGUUUAAAAGCGCAGUAAUUUUUUUUAGGGGGGGGGGGGGGAGGAUGGAACUAAAUUGUGACUAGUACCAUUUCUGUGGAUUAUAUAUUGCCAUAAAUGAAAGAAACAUUAUACCCAACUCGGACACACUCUUGAAAUGCAAAGUGAAGUAUUUGGAAUAAGAAAGACAUUCCUCAAAUGGCUUUUUCAUCUUCUCCAUCAUUCAGUCCUGAAGUGUUCAAGACACAUCGUCAUCUGUCAGACUAAACAGAGAAAGGAAAUCAUUAUUCAAUUUGUGAAAUAUUUCAGUGCCCACACAUUUUCAGUUCUCAUGACUUUUUUUUUGGUCAGCCAUUUGUGUCAAUGAUGUUAUCUAUUCAGAGCAGUAUGAGGCAACAGUAUAGAAUGUUAAAUUCUAUAAUGUCUUUCCUUCCACGUAUUACCCCAAAAAACAAUUGACAAAGUUAAAUAACAUAGCUACAGAAUUAAAAUGUUCCAGAGGGAACGAGAGGCAAAGAAAAAGACAGUGUUUUCAGCUGGAAGUGAAAAAGUGAUGGUGGCUUCUGAGGACUGUUCAAGGAUUCAAAAAUAGAUGUUCUUGAAAUCUCAGUUUCUGUACUUCCGGGACUUUGUUAAGGGCAGGAUGCUCAAGCACAAUUUGGAAGAGGGUAUUUCCAAGGCAGGAAAAUGGGACAGAAUGGCAUUUCAGUUCUAUUUAAUCAGUUAGGAUCCAAUCUGCUUUCAUAUUUAUUUCUGAUUGAAUCCAAACCUUAAAGGGAUAAAUUUUUUCAGACUAGUGUACCUUGAUGUAACUCAUUAAUUUUACAGUAUGAAUUUGGUUUAUAUGAAUUACAGGUGUGAUCAAGAAAAUGAAAAUAUUAGUAAUUUGUGAGGUUUUUGUAGUUGUGAGAUGAAACUUUACUAACACAGCCUACAAGAUUUUUGUUACUCUUGGGUAAGAUACUACUCUCUACUUAGAGCAGAGCUUCCAGCACAAAUCUGCACUUCAGUUCCAUUCUGAAGCUCAAUGUUAAUCCAGAUAUAAAUUCCACCUCUUUAGAGCAUUUGUCUCUCUUUUGUCCUGCCGCUGCUUAAUGGAUACAGCACACAGUAUCAUCUCAUUAACCUGUUACUGAUGAAUCACUGACUUGAUAAAAUGGUAUAUAAAAAGUGAAAUAUUUGACAGCUGGCUAAUGAGAAUAGUCAUGAAGGUAAUUUUCAAGUCUGCACUGUGCUACCAUAAACAUCACUAGUAAGUGCCACAGAUUUGUGCUUUCCACAGAAAGUUAAAAAUAAUCAAAGCAGCGGACUCCUUACAAAUAUAAAAUUAGUCAUAUUAUGUGAUUUAUGGAAGUAAAUUUGUCAUCCUCAUGAGAGCUAUCAGCUACACCUUUUCUCUUUGACAUUUCAUCGUCAUUAAAAAGGUACCUAUUUUUAUGCAAAAUAUGUAUGCUUGACUUUGACAGUAACAUGAAAUUAUACU